GACGAACGCUGGCGGCGUGCCUAAUACAUGCAAGUCGAACGCAGUGGGGACGGGUGAGUAACACGUGGGUAACCUCCCAUCAGAGGGGAUAACACUUGGAAAAAGGUGCUAAUCCGAUAAGGAUGGAUGAACCCGCGGUGAAUUAGCUAGUUGGUGGGGUAACGGCUCACAAAGGCGACGAUCCAUAGCCGACCUGAUAGGGUUAUCGGCCACACGGGGACUGAGACACGGCCCAGACUCCUACGGGAGGCAGCAGUAGGGAAUCUUGGGCAAUGGACGAAAGUCUGACCGAGCAACGCCGCGUGAGUGAAGAAGGUUUUCGGAUCGUAAAACUCUGUUGUUAGAGAAGCGGUAUCUAACCAGAAAGCCACGGCUAACUACGUGCCAGCAGCCGCGGUAAUUC
rnacentral:rRNA from 1 species